rnacentral:siRNA from 1 species
UCCAGCACGGUGAGACGUUUCAA